rnacentral:tRNA from 1 species
GGAGAGGUGGCUCAGCUGUUAAGAGCACUGACUCCUCUUCUGGAGGUCCUGAGUUCAAAUCCCAGCAACCACA